CCUACGGGAGGCUGCAGUGGGGAAUAUUGCACAAUGGGCGCAAGCCUGAUGCAGCCAUGCCGCGUGUGAAGAAGGCCUUCGGGUUGUAAAGCACUUUCAGCGGGGAGGAAGGCGGUGAGGUUAAUAACCUCAUCGAUUGACGUUACCCGCAGAAGAAGCACCGGCUAACUCCGUGCCAGCAGCCGCGGUAAUACGGAGGGUGCAAGCGUUAAUCGGAAUUACUGGGCGUAAAGCGCACGCAGGCGGUCUGUCAAGUCGGAUGUGAAAUCCCCGGGCUCAACCUGGGAACUGCAUUCGAAACUGGCAGGCUAGAGUCUUGUAGAGGGGGGUAGAAUUCCAGGUGUAGCGGUGAAAUGCGUAGAGAUCUGGAGGAAUACCGGUGGCGAAGGCGGCCCCCUGGACAAAGACUGACGCUCAGGUGCGAAAGCGUGGGGAGCAAACAGGAUUAGAACCCGAGUAGUC
rnacentral:rRNA from 1 species